GCCGGGCGCGGUGGCGCGUGCCUGUAGUCCCAGCUACUCAGGAGGCUGAGGUGGGAGAAUUGCUUGAGCCUAGGAGUUCUGGGCUGCAGUGCGCUAUGCUGAUCGGGUGUCCGCACUAAGUUCGGCAUCAAUAUGGUGACCUCCCAGGAGCAGGGGACCACCAGGUUGCCUAAGGAGGGGUGAACCGGCCCAGGUCAGAAACGGAGCAGGUCAAAACUCCCGUGCUGAUCAGUAGUGGGAUCGUGCCUGUGAAUAGCCACUGCACUCCAGCCUGGGCAACAUAGCGAGACCCCGUCUCU
rnacentral:SRP_RNA from 1 species